rnacentral:rRNA from 1 species
AUCGUCGAUACCUUAUAGGUACAUGCUGAUCACGAGAUGCCGAUAAUCAUGGAAUCAGGCUUGUUCUUGGUUCCAGUCGGUGUCUCACCCCAUCUAAGCUCUCGGUGAGGUGUCUAUUCUUGAUUGGAGCCGCUUUGAGUGACGGCAAUGAUAGUUGGGUAUGUUCCCCGUGAGGGUAGAGCAUAGACUUUAUGAACAGAGCUGGGCUGUCGCCUCACCAAAAACCAUCGAUAACUGGUGGCUGAGUGAGAAAUCACUGGAUCUGCUAUGCAGGGAGCCUUAAUGAGUUGGUCUUCACCGACACAACCGCCACUAUCGGUAAUCUAUUCCCAAUUAACUUGUUUCUAGUAAAAGGCUAAAUUAGUCAGUGGAAAAUAGCCUUAGCGAUGGAUCGGUUGAUUCGCGUAUCGAUGAAAAACGCAGCUAGCUGCGUUAUUUACCACGAAUUGCAGACGCUUAGAGUGGUGAAGUUUUGAACGCACAGCGCCGUUGGGUUUUCCCUUCGGCACGUCUGGCUCAGGGUUGUUUAAUAGACUUCGAUAUUGCUAGGAAGGCAGCAAUAUCGUGCACCGAACGGUGAUAGUGUCUAUAAAAUAGUGGUGCAUACCCCGUUUUAGGGUAAAAUAAAGGUCGUAAACUGAAACUUCUUCCGCCCGAGAAGUUAUAGGUAAUACUUAUGGAUGUGCCAUGUAUGAAAUAUGACGUGGUUAUAUACAUAAAUAGUAUUUCCUUGAAGUCUCAUUAUGCAACGAGCUCAGUCGUGAUUACCCGCUGAACUUAAGCAUAU